GACAGAGGGUGCAAACGUUGUUCGGAAUUACUGGGCGUAAAGCGCGUGUAGGCGGCCCUGCAAGUCGGGUGUGAAAUCCCACGGCUCAACCGAGGAACGACGCAUGAAACUGGCAAGCUAGAGUACCAAAGAGGGGGGUGGAAUUCCCGGUGUAGCGGUGAAAUGCGUAGAGAUCCGGAGGAAUACCAGUGGCGCAAGCGGCGCUCUGGGUCGAGCCUGACACUGAGACGCGAAGGCAUGGGGAGCGAACGGG
rnacentral:rRNA from 1 species